UGCCUAAGCCUGUCUAUCUGCCUGU
rnacentral:piRNA from 2 species